rnacentral:rRNA from 1 species
CCUACGGGAGGCAGCAGUGAGGAAUAUUGGUCAAUGGGCGCGAGCCUGAACCAGCCAAGUCGCGUGAGGGAAGACGGUCCUAUGGAUUGUAAACCUCUUUUGUCGGGGAGCAAAAGGCGCCACGCGUGGCGUUCCGCGCGUACCCGAAGAACAAGCAUCGGCUAACUCCGUGCCAGCAGCCGCGGUAAUACGGAGGAUGCGAGCGUUAUCCGGCUUUAUUGGGUUUAAAGGGUGCGCCGGCGGAGGAUCAAGUCAGCGGUAAAAUUGCGGGGCUCAACCCCUUCCAGCCGUUGAAACUGGUGUUCUUGAGUGAGCGAGAAGUAGGCGGAAUGCGUGGUGUAGCGGUGAAAUGCAUAGAUAUCACGCAGAACUCCGAUUGCGAAGGCAGCAUACCGGCGCGCAACUGACGCUCAUGCACGAAAGUGUGGGUAUCGAACAGGAUUAGAUACCCGGGUAGUC